AGCAGCCGCGGUAAUUCCAGCUCCAAUAGCGUAUAUUAAAGUUGUUGCAGUUAAAAAGCUCGUAGUUGAAUUUCAGGCCUGGCUGGACGGUCCGCCUUUUGGGUGAGUACUGUCUGUGGUCGGGUCCUACCUUCUGGCGAAGCGUCAUGGCCUUAACCGGCCGUGGCGGGGAACCAGGACUUUUACUGUGAAAAAAUUAGAGUGUUCAAAGCAGGCAGUCGCUUGAAUACAUUAGCAUGGAAUAAUGGAAUAGGACAAUGGUUCUAUUUGUUGGUUUCUAGGACCGUUGUAAUGAUUAAUAGGGAUAGUUGGGGGCAUUAGUAUUCAAUUGUCAGAGGUGAAAUUCUUGGAUUUAUUGAAGACUAACUACUGCGAAAGCAUUUGCCAAGGAUGUUUUCAUUAAUCAAGAACGAAAGUUAGGGGAUCGAAGACGAUCAGAUACCGUCGUAGUCUUAACCAUAAACUAUGCCGACUAGGAAUCGGGCGAUGUUGACAAAAUGACGCGCUCGGCACCUCAUGG
rnacentral:rRNA from 1 species